AGUGAACGCUGGCGGUAGGCCUAACACAUGCAAGUCGAACGGCAGCACAGUAAGAGCUUGCUCUUACGGGUGGCGAGUGGCGGACGGGUGAGGAAUACAUCGGAAUCUACUUUUUCGUGGGGGAUAACGUAGGGAAACUUACGCUCAUACCGCAUCCGACCUACGGGUGAAAGCAGGGGAUCUUCGGACCCUGCGCGAUUGAAUGAGCCGAUGUCGGAUUAGUUAGUUGGCGGGGUAAAGGCCCACCAAGGCGACGAUCCGUAGCUGGUCUGAGAGGAUGAUCAGCCACACUGGAACUGAGACACGGUCCAGACUCCUACGGGAGGCAGCAGUGGGGAAUAUUGGACAAUGGGCGAAAGCCUGAUCCAGCCAUACCGCGUGGGUGAAGAAGGCCUUCGGGUUGUAAAGCCCUUUUGUUGGGAAAGAAAAGCAGCAGGUUAAUACCCCGCUGUUCUGACGGUACCCAAAGAAUAAGCACCGGCUAACUUCGUG
rnacentral:rRNA from 1 species